rnacentral:rRNA from 1 species
AACGAACGCUGGCGGCAGGCUUAACACAUGCAAGUCGAACGGGCGUAGCAAUACGUCAGUGGCAGACGGGUGAGUAACACGUGGGAACCUUCCUCGUAGUACGGGACAACUCAGGGAAACUUGAGCUAAUACCGUAUACGUCCGAGAGGAGAAAGAUUUAUCGCUAUGAGACGGGCCCGCGUCCGAUUAGGUAGUUGGUGGGGUAACGGCCUACCAAGCCGACGAUCGGUAGCUGAUCUGAGAGGAUGAUCAGCCACACUGGGACUGAGACACGGCCCAGACUCCUACGGGUGGCAG